CAGCUAUGAGUUACCAUUCUAUGAGAAAACAUGUUACCGCAUUACCACCAGAGGUGAAGAAGAAUCAAGCUGUUUCCAACCUAAAGAUCAGGACACCUGUACCACUUCAAACAAUAUGAAGAUGAAGAAACAGAGGAUCAAAGAAAUGAAGCCAAAGUUGCUCAGUUCAUGGAAAAGUUAAGGAACAGUUUCCUAUUGCUGCUCAGUCUCCAAGGACUUACCUCGUUUGAUGGGUUGACCGGUGCCAAGGGUCUCCUGCCAGAUUCAAACCCUGCUCAUUCCACCUGCAGUCAGGAGCCAGCAUCUCAUCCAGGAGUCACAUCACCCAUGCUCUGCACAUGACCCCAUGCAGAUGAGGAAUCUCCUGGGGAGAGAGCGGACCCACGGAUGCCCGGACCUCUGUGACCUAAGGCCUCCCAAGACUCUUAAUUUUGGCUGGUCAUGGGGCAGGGAUAUCAGAGUCCUCCCAUUGUAGGUUCUAGAGGUCAUAGAUUCCAGUGAGUUGUUUCAUGGGAUCAGGGACGCUCUGUUCUUUGUGUCCUUUCUGUGGCUGUCAUGGUUAGAAUGCAUUUGUUCUGA